GGGGGUGUAGCUCAGUGAUAGAGCGUGUGCUUCGCGCGACCGAGGUCCCGGGAUCAACCCCGGCUCCUCCA
rfam:Canis lupus familiaris chromosome 35, whole genome shotgun sequence.